CAGUAUCUAGCUAAAGGUAAAAAUUUUAAGAUGUUAUAUGAAAAGGAAGUCUUGUCAGUCUAAAAUGAUAUUCAGAAAGAAUUUGCUAAUCAAAAGCUAGUUAUAUAGUUUUGGUAAAUAUGGCUUGGCUUUUUUUUCUUUUUUUCUUUUUUUUUUUUACAGGUCAUGUGAGUGGCUCAGCAAUGUGUGACACUACAAAAACUGAUGGACUCCCAAGGCAUGUCUGCAAUGGUUGUUUGAAACAAGAAACAGAUACCCUCUUGCUGUCAUUCAUCUCUGAUCACCGGGAAUCUGAGCUUGGAGGAAGGUGAAAGAAAACUCCUACCGAGAACUGGGAAUCAUUUGUCUCUGCAGUCCCACAUCUUUGGACAUUGACUUUUUCCCAUUCCUACCUACCACUGCUUCAGGACCAUGCUUCUUGGGGAAUGGGGAAAUCCAGGUCCUGCUGAGGUAUGAAGAAAAAAGGGAUUUUGACUUAUAUGGUACAGGGUAUGGGCUUC
rnacentral:lncRNA from 1 species